CCUACGGGUGGCAGCAGUGAGGAAUAUUGGUCAAUGGCCGGAAGGCUGAACCAGCCAUGCCGCGUGAAGGUCAGUGGCCUUUGGGCGUUAAACUUCUUUUGUGCGGGAGCAAUAAUGGUCACGUGUGGCCCGCCGAACGUACCGUCCGCAUAAGCCUCGGCUAACUCCGUGCCCGACGCCGCGGUUAUACGGGGGGUGCAUGCGUUAUCCGGAUUUUUUGGGUUUAAAGGGUGCGUAGGCGGGGAGGUCAGUCCGAGGGGAAAUUCCCCGGGUUAACGGGGUGAAGUGCCAUUGAUACUGCCUUGCUGGAGUGGGGAUGCGGUGGGAGGAAUGCGUGGUGUAGCGGUGAAAUGCAUAGAUAUCACGCAGAACACCGAUUGCGAAGGCAGCGCACGAAUCCGCGACUGACGCUGAUGCACGAAAGCGUGGGUAUCAAACAGGAUUAGAUACCCGUGUAGUC
rnacentral:rRNA from 1 species